rfam:Cajanus cajan CcLG11_2711, whole genome shotgun sequence.
GUGACAGAAGAGAGUGAGCACUUAGCUCUUUCCUAGCAUGGACCUUUCAUGCUAAAAGCUGUGUGCUUACUCUCUAUCUGUCAC